GGAUUAAUUUACUGGUCGUGCUAUUGUACGUACUGGUUUUAUUGAUUCCUCCCUUCUGACGAACUAUGAUGUCAUUAAUUUGGUGUCAUAGGAAAUCAGGACUGUUACUUUGAAAAAAUUAGAGUGUUUAAAGCAGGCAACUUUUGCCUUGAAUAGUUCAGCAUGGGAUAAUGGAAUAUG
rnacentral:rRNA from 1 species